rnacentral:lncRNA from 10 species
GAUUAACAUGAGACAGAAGGAGUUCAGAGGCGAGGAGAAGUCAAGGCUGGCCACACAGCAGAAGAGGAACUUUGGCUGGGCUUGGAUGAUGGGGCAUUUGGACAAGUGAAGCAGUGGAGAAUUUCUUUGAGGGACCUGGGCCUCCACCAGCCCUUUGUAUGAAUUAGAAAGGGACUUUUUCUCUGUUGCCCAACACUGCAGGUGCACUACUUGGGAAGUGAACGGCACCUUUGAAAUGAGGUGCUACUGAAACAAAAGCCUAAAACUGGGGAAAUCAUCUUAGGGAUGGAAGUGUGGGCUAAGAGACCUCAAUGAGACUGAUAGUAAAGUCUCAAAGUUCAGUGAGGGAACACCUGGAAAGAUGGAAAAGAGUGACUGCUGUCAUGUAGCAGCAGAAACGUUAGUUAAAAUAUCCUUUGGGGAAACCAG